rnacentral:rRNA from 1 species
UACGUAGGGGGCAAGCGUUGUCCGGAAUUAUUGGGCGUAAAGAGCGUGUAGGCGGUCCGAUAAGUCGGCUGUGAAAGUCAGGGGCUCAACCCUUGAAAGCCGGCCGAUACUGUCGGACUAGAGUCCGGAAGAGGCGAGUGGAAUUCCCGGUGUAGCGGUGAAAUGCGCAGAUAUCGGGAGGAACACCAAUGGCGAAGGCAGCGCGCUGGGACGGUACUGACGCUGAGGCGCGAAAGCGUGGGGAGCAAACAGG